UACAGAGGUGGCAAGCGUUGUUCGGAAUUACUGGGCGUAAAGGGCGAGUAGGUGGCCAUCUAAGUCAGACGUGAAAUCCCCCGGCUUAACCUGGGAACUGCGUCUGAUACUGGACGGCUUGAGUAUGGGAGAGGAACGUAGAAUUCCAGGUGUAGCGGUGAAAUGCGUAGAUAUCGAGAGGAACACCGGUGGCGAAGGCGGCAUCCUGGACCGGUAUUGACGCUGAGGCGCGAAAGCCAGGGGAGCAAACGGG
rnacentral:rRNA from 1 species